GGUUGUGUUCCACCGAGGGAAGAUUACAUAUCACGAUUUUCCUGUGAGUGGGUUUGCAUUAACAUGAUGACAUUUUAGGGAACUCUUUACUGUAGCUGUCAAAGUGGUAUCAUCCCAAGUCAAGAAACACACCAGUGAAGAAUUACAGCUGUGGGGUGUAGGACAAGUGGAUCACUCAGACUAAACAGACAUGAAGGAAAUAAACGUCAGUCCGUCUGUCAUCUGCAGGUUGAAACGCACUGAAGGAUCCCAGCUUGAUUGUAUUCCUAUCAGAAAACACUGACAAUCUGAUUGCACAUUACCACAUUACCAGGAGAGUGAU
ensembl:lncRNA